UCAGGUGGUUAUAGAGAGAGGGCAACGCCUGGUCCCAUUCCGAACCCAGAAGCUAAGCCUCUCAUCGCUGAUAAUACUGCAGAUUGCAUUUGUGGAAACGUAGGUCGCCGCCUGAA
rnacentral:rRNA from 1 species